GAUGAACGCUAGCUACAGGCUUAACACAUGCAAGUCGAGGGGAAACGACAUCGAAAGCUUGCUUUUGAUGGGCGUCGACCGGCGCACGGGUGAGUAACGCGUAUCCAACCUGCCCAUCACUUGGGGAUAACCUUGCGAAAGUAAGACUAAUACCCAAUGAUAUCUCUAGAAGACAUCUGAAAGAGAUUAAAGAUUUAUCGGUGAUGGAUGGGGAUGCGUCUGACUAGCUUGUUGGCGGGGUAACGGCCCACCAAGGCAACGAUCAGUAGGGGUUCUGAGAGGAAGGUCCCCCACAUUGGAACUGAGACACGGUCCAAACUCCUACGGGAGGCAGCAGUGAGGAAUAUUGAUCAAUGGGCGAGAGCCUGAACCAGCCAAGUAGCGUGCAGGAAGACGGCCCUAUGGGUUGUAAACUGCUUUUAUAAGGGAAUAAAGUGAGAGUCGUGACUCUUUUUGUAUGUACCUUAUGAAUAAGGACCGGCUAAUUCCGUG
rnacentral:rRNA from 1 species